ACUGCGAAUGGCUCAUUAAAUCAGUUAUCGUUUAUUUGAUAAUACCUUACUACUUGGAUAACCGUGGUAAUUCUAGAGCUAAUACAUGCUGAAAAUCCCGACUUCGGAAGGGAUGUGUUUAUUAGAUAAAAAACCAAUGCCCUUCGGGGCUUUUUGGUGAUUCAUGAUAACUUUACGGAUCGCAUAGCCUUGCGCUGGCGACGGUUCAUUCAAAUUUCUGCCCUAUCAACUUUCGAUGGUAAGGUAUUGGCUUACCAUGGUUUCAACGGGUAACGGGGAAUUAGGGUUCGAUUCCGGAGAGGGAGCCUGAGAAACGGCUACCACAUCCAAGGAAGGCAGCAGGCGCGCAAAUUACCCAAUCCCGACACGGGGAGGUAGUGACAAUAAAUACUGAUACAGGGCUCUUUUGGGUCUUGUAAUUGGAAUGAGUACAAUUUAAACCUCUUAACGAGGAACAAUUGGAGGGCAAGUCUGGUGCCAGCAGCCGCGGUAAUUCCAGCUCCAAUAGCGUAUAUUAAAGUUGUUGCAGUUAAAAAGCUCGUA
rnacentral:rRNA from 1 species